GAGAAUCCCUUCUUCGAAAAUUAACUGAUGUAAAAAAAAAACUGAAUUAUGUGGCAUGAUUUUCACAUUAACCGCAACAAAUCCUACUCCAAUAUAGGUCCUACUGACAAUUCUCACAAAAAUAAUGCAUUUUGGUCAAUACAAUAACAAUCUUGCCUAACAAUUGACUCUCCUUUGCCUUUUCAGUUCGCAUGCCACUUUGUUGAGUUGAGUAAAAAAGUUGUGCGUUUGGCGACUUUCCACUGACUUCUCCAAUUGAAUUCCAUUGCAUGCCCAUUUUUUUAGGUACAGCACUGCCCAAGACAUCUUAUAAUACUUUAUAAGCAAAUAAAAGAAAAGAACACAAAA